rnacentral:rRNA from 1 species
UACGAAGGGGGCUAGCGUUACUCGGAUUGACUGGGCGUAAAGGGCGCGUAGGCGGCGUGUCAAGUCAGGCGUGAAAGCCCCGGGCUCAACCUGGGAACCGCGCUUGAGACUGGCAUGCUCGAGUUCGGGAGAGGAUGGUGGAAUUCCCAGUGUAGAGGUGAAAUUCGUAGAUAUUGGGAAGAACACCGAUGGCGAAGGCAGCCAUCUGGACCGACACUGACGCUGAGGCGCGAAAGCGUGGGGAGCAAACAGG